rnacentral:rRNA from 1 species
GACGAACGCUGGCGGCGUGCCUAAUACAUGCAAGUAGAACGCUGAAGGAGGAGCUUGCUUCUCUGGAUGAGUUGCGAACGGGUGAGUAACGCGUAGGUAACCUGCCUGGUAGCGGGGGAUAACUAUUGGAAACGAUAGCUAAUACCGCAUAAUAGCAGUUGUUGUAUGACAACUGUUUGAAAGGUGCAAUUGCACCACUACCAGAUGGACCUGCGUUGUAUUAGCUAGUUGGUGGGGUAACGGCUCACCAAGGCGACGAUACAUAGCCGACCUGAGAGGGUGAUCGGCCACACUGGGACUGAGAAACGGCCCAGACUUCUACGGGAGGCAGCAGUAGGGAAUCUUCGGCAAUGGACGGAAGUCUGACCGAGCAACGCCGCGUGAGUGAAGAAGGUUUUCGGAUCGUAAAGCUCUGUUGUAAGAGAAGAACGAGUGUGAGAGUGGAAAGUUCACACUGUGACGGUAUCUUACCAGAAAGGGACGGCUAACUACGUG